CAGAAUUCAAAUUUCUGCAGAGUGUGUUUAGAAUAUGUAUAUCUCGAUAUAGACUUUGUGUCAAAGAGAGCUGCUCCAAGCAGAGCACCGUUUGAAGCAGAGUGCUUUAACAAACUUAUUCUGAUGUUGAGGAGGAAAAGGUUCUGAAGAAAAGAAGUAAUUGCUGCAGCCACAAGUCUACAGUUACAAGUGAUUGAAGAUGGUGGCUGGGUCAGAGAAUGCUAAUCAUCCGUGAAGUGGGCUCGCCAUGACUCUGACACCGUGUCUCCUGGUGCACCCUGUGGGCAGAGUUAGCCAUGCCUCUGGCCUGCGCCGACACCCGCAGAGGGAAGAAUGGCUUCCAGAGGGAAAGGUUAAAGAACAGGUCGGCUGGGCAUCCACACUCCCCGUCCC
rnacentral:lncRNA from 1 species